rnacentral:rRNA from 1 species
GAAUUUCGGACAAUGGGCGAAAGCCUGAUCCAGCAAUGCCGCGUGCAGGAUGAAGGCCUUCGGGUUGUAAACUGCUUUCGUACGGAACGAAAAGCUUUGGGUUAAUACCCUGGAGUCAUCACGGUACCGUAAGAACAAGCACCGGCCAACUACGUGCCCGCAGCCGCGGGAUACCGUAGGGUGCAAGCGUUAAUCGGAAUUACUGGGCGUAAAGCGUGCGCAGGCGGUUUUGUAAGACGGAGGUGAAAUCCCCGGGCUCAACCUGGGAACUGCCUUUGUGACUGCAAGGCUAGAGUACGGCAGAGGGGGGUGGAAUUCCGCGUGUAGCAGUGAAAUGCGUAGAUAUGCGGAGGAACACCGAUGGCGAAGGCAACCCCCUGGGCCUGUACUGACGCUCAUGCACGAAAGCGUGGGGAGCAAACA